rnacentral:rRNA from 1 species
AACGAACGCUGGCGGCGUGGAUAAGGCAUGCAAGUCGAACGGGCGACCCGCUUUCGGGUGGGAAGCUAGUGGCGAACGGGUGAGUAACACGUGGGUAAUCUGCCUUCGGAUGGGGGAUAACAUCGGGAAACCGGUGCUAAUACCGCGUAACAUUCAGGAUUCGCAUGUUUCCUGGAUCAAAGGUGGGGAUCUUUCGGGACCUACCGUCUGAAGAGGAGCCCGCGGUCGAUUAGCUUGUUGGUGAGGUAAAAGCUCACCAAGGCGACGAUCGAUAGCCGACCUGAGAGGGUGACCGGCCACACUGGGACUGAGAUACGGCCCAGACUCCUACGGGGGCAGCAGUCUAGAAGCUUCGGCAAUGGGGGAAACCCUGACCGAGCGACGCCGCGUGCAGGACGAAGGUCUUCGGAUCGUAAGCUGCUUUCGCUGGGGGAGAAAUGCUCCGGGGUGAAUAAUUCCGGGGUUAGACGGUACCCAGUAAAGAAGCUCCGGCUAAGUCCGUG